GCCCGGGCAAAAACAUGCUGGGGCCCCUAACAUUUUCCCAGCAUCUUGGAGCAGCUAAGGAUCUCACGCAUCAUUGCCAUUGCCGUAUGGGGACUCAUCGCGCUGGGGCUGCUGGCCUGGGGACCUGCUAUAGCUCCUCCUGGCAGGAGGUGGUGGUGGCGACCUGCUCAGGUCACGGGCUGGCGGUGGCGAUCUGCUGUUGUUCCGCGGAGGUGGUGGAGGUGGCGACUUGCUGUAGCUGCGCGCUCGAGCUGGUGGAGGUGACCUGCUGAGACUCCGUGCACGAGGUGGCGGUGGAGACCUGCUGUCACUCCGCCUCCUAGGAGAACGAUCCCGUGGGCUGUAGCUCCUGAAACAUGCAAGUUUCUUUUUCAGAUAUGACCACAAAAUUAACUCGUUGAAAAGGCAGGUAAUGUGGCAACAAGACAUCGUGCAAUACAACGUUACGACAUUGGCCAGCGUAACAGCUGCAAGAGUACCAAUGCAUGAUAAAGAACCAAACUAAGAAUGCAUUGUUGAACAUGAUACAGCAAGUCAGGCUCUGUAUUGAAGUUAACAGAGCAAAGAAGCAGCCUUUGAAGCUUUGGAUCAACAUCAUGGUAGCCUUAUGAAAGAAUGUG
rnacentral:lncRNA from 1 species